GUGAACGCUGGCGGCAUGCCUAACACAUGCAAGUCGAACGGCAGCACAGCAGUAGCAAUACUGUGGGUGGCGAGUGGCGGACGGGUGAGGAAUACAUCGGAAUUUGCCCUGUCGUGGGGGAUAACGUAGGGAAACUUACGCUAAUACCGCAUACGACCUAACGGUGAAAGCGGGGGAUCGCAAGACCUCGCGCGGUUGGAUAAGCCGAUGUCAGAUUAGCUAGUUGGCGGGGUAAAGGCCCACCAAGGCGACGAUCUGUAGCUGGUCUGAGAGGAUGAUCAGCCACACUGGGACUGAGACACGGCCCAGACUCCUACGGGAGGCAGCAGUGGGGAAUAUUGGACAAUGGGGGCAACCCUGAUCCAGCAAUGCCGCGUGUGUGAAGAAGGCCUUCGGGUUGUAAAGCACUUUUAUCAGGAGCGAAAUCUGCACGGUUAAUAACCAUGCAGUCUGACGGUACCUGAGGAAUAAGCACCGGCUAACUUCGUGCCAGCAGCCGCGGUAAUACGAAGGGUGCAAGCGUUACUCGGAAUUACUGGGCGUAAAGCGUGCGUAGGUGGUUUCUUAAGUCUGCUGUGAAAGCCCCGGGCUCAACCUGGGAAUUGUAGUGGAUACUGGGAAGCUAGAGUGCGGUAGAGGGUAGUGGAAUUCCCGGUGUAGCGGUGAAAUGCGUAGAGAUCGGGAGGAACACCAGUGGCGAAGGCGGCUACCUGGACCAGCACUGACACUGAGGCACGAAAGCGUGGGGAGCAAACAGGAUUAGAUACCCUGGUAGUCCACGCCCUAACGAUCGAACUGGAUGUUGGGAGCAACUUGGCUCUCCAGUGUCGAAGCUAACGCGUUAAGUUCGCCGCCUGGGGAGUACGGUCGCAAGACUGAAACGCAAAGGAAUUGACGGGGGCCCGCACAAGCGGUGGAGUAUGUGGUUUAAUUCGAUGCAACGCGAAGAACCUUACCUGGCCUUGACAUGUCCGGAAUCCUGCAGAGAUGCGGGAGUGCCUUCGGGAAUCGGAACACAGGUGCUGCAUGGCUAUCGUCAGCUCGUGUCGUGAGAUGUUGGGUUAAGUCCCGCAACGAGCGCAACCCUUGUCCUUAGUUGCCAGCACGUAAUGGUGGGAACUCUAAGGAGACCGGCCGGUGACAAACCGGAGGAAGGUGGGGAUGACGUCGAGUCAUCAUGGCCCUUACGGGCCAGGGCUACACACGUACUACAAUGGGAGGUACAGAGGUCGCAAUGCCGCGAGCGGAGCCAAUCCCAGAAAACCUCUCUUCAGUCCGGAUCGGAGUCUGCAACUCGACUCCGUGAAGUCGGAUCGCUAAGUAAUCGCAAAUCAGCAUUGUUGCGGUGAAUACGUUCCCGGGCCUGUACACACCGCCCGUCACACCAUGGGAGUGGUUGCUCCAGAAGCAGGUAGUCUAACCGCAAGGGGGACGCUUGCCACGGAGUGGUCAAUGACUGGGGUG
rnacentral:rRNA from 1 species